rnacentral:piRNA from 1 species
UGGUGAACAGGAAAUGUUGCUGCCUGA